rnacentral:rRNA from 1 species
CGAAAACUUUACAAUGCGGGAAACCGUGAUAAGGGAACACCGAGUGCCAGCAUCAUAUGCUGGCUGUCCAGAUGUGUAAACUACAUCUGUUAGCAAGGGGCCGGGCAAGACCGGUGCCAGCCGCCGCGGUAACACCGGCGGCCCGAGUGGUGACCGUUAUUAUUGGGUCUAAAGGGUCCGUAGCCGGUUUGGUCAGUCCUCCGGGAAAUCUGAUAGCUUAACUGUUAGGCUUUCGGGGGAUACUGCCAGGCUUGGAACCGGGAGAGGUAAGAGGUACUACAGGGGUAGGAGUGAAAUCUUGUAAUCCCUGUGAGACCACCUGUGGCGAAGGCGUCUUACCAGAACGGGUUCGACGGUGAGGGACGAAAGCUGGGGGCACGAACCGGAUUAGAUACCCGGGUAGUCCCAGCCGUAAACUAUGCUCGCUAGGUGUCAGGCAUGGCGCGACCGUGUCUGGUGCCGCAGGGAAGCCGUGAAGCGAGCCACCUGGGAAGUACGGCCGCAAGGCUGAAACUUAAAGGAAUUGGCGGGGGAGCACAACAACGGGUGGAGCCUGCGGUUUAAUUGGACUCAACGCCGGACAACUCACCGGGAACGACAGCAAUAUGUAGGCCAGGCUGAAGACCUUGCCUGAAUCGCUGAGAGGAGGUGCAUGGCCGUCGCCAGUUCGUACUGUGAAGCAUCCUGUUAAGUCAGGUAACGAGCGAGACCCA